CGCUGAUGCGAGGGCUGACCCAAAAAGCAGAACUAAAACUGCUAAAGUGAUGCGAUGCGCCAUAGAAGCAUGGGGUUCCGUCUCGUGUGGAGUAAACGAAAAUGUGCACACCGCGCGGAGUAGACCGUGUUUAAAAAUCUAGUGUGUAGCUGUAAAUCGCGUGCUCGCUGCCACGUUAAAUCAGCGCAAAGAGUUUACAGCGUCCAAUCCUGCAACGCAUUUCGGGUAAACAAAUUUGGGAGAAUACCACCUGUGACGGAACCGCAGGUGGUAUUCU
rnacentral:ncRNA from 1 species